CAAACCCACCACUGGUUUAAAGUAGGUAUUGGGUUAUUUUCUACAGAUCCGUUCUCAUUUAGACACCAAACCCACCACUGGUUUAAAGUAGGUAUUGGGUUAUUUUCUACAGAUCCGUUCUCAUUUAGACACCAAACCCACCACUGGUUUAAAGUAGGUAUUGGGUUAUUUUCUACAGAUCCGUUCUCAUUUAGACACCAAACCCACCACUGGUUUAAAGUAGGUAUUGGGUUAUUUUCUACAGAUCCGUUCUCAUUUAGACACCAAACCCACCACUGGUUUAAAGUAGGUAUUGGGUUAUUUUCUACAGAUCCGUUCUCAUUUAGACACCAAACCCACCACUGGUUUAAAGUAGGUAUUGGGUUAUUUUCUACAGAUCCGUUCUCAUUUAGACACCAAACCCACCACUGGUUUAAAGUAGGUAUUGGGUUAUUUUCUACAGAUCCGUUCUCAUUUAGACAC